GUCUACAGCCAUGCCACCCUGAAUCGCGUGCCUGAUCCCGUCUGAUCUCGGAAGCUAAGCAGGGUCGGGCCUGGUUAGUACUUGGAUGGGAGACCACCUAGGAAGACCAGGUGCUAUAGGUG
rnacentral:rRNA from 1 species